GGUUUCGUCCAUCUCGAUUGUGGUUGCCACGCCCCUUUAUCCGACUUUAAACUCAGUUGCCAACGUUUUUAUUGCCUUAUUUUGAACAGUACUCCAAAGUUGAAUAAAACCGAAUUUUGGCAACGAUGCAAUGGGAUGCAAUGACUUACCAAUGUAGUGGAUAAAUUAUUAAGCAAUUAGAAGGCAUGACUGACUUGCUGGCAUUUCAAAAUUGCCCCAGGGCAUGCCACGCCCACCACCCAACUACCACCCAAAAACGAAAUUACAAACCAUUAGGCACAGGACGAUGGAACGAUGGGACGAUGAGACGAGAGAGAAGGCAGACACAAAGGAUUCUCAGUUAUUAAUGAGAAAAUCACAGGGAAAAGCACGCACGACCAGCUCGCAAUAAUGAGGAAAAUGUGAGGGAAAUGGGGAAAAACGGAGAGGAAGCGACGUGUAUUGUAAUUUUUAUUUUUAUGCCGAAACGAAAUCAUUCGAUUUCAUCAUUUUAUGGACCCCGACACUGCAUUAUCAUUAUACAUAGUAUUUUGGGACAUACACACAUAGCAUUAGACCCUCAACCUUUUUCCCUUGCUUUUGCCCAUCAAAAAGGCAACACGUAGCAAAUUAUGAAUGAAUGAAAGCUGGGUGUGGAACAGUGGAGCCUGCCUCGUAAUUGCCACUUGGUUGUGCCACAUGUGGCAGGCCAUCCAAAUGAAGGCGACAAAUUUCAGUAGUUCUCGCCGCUCGCUCUCCAAGGACCUGCAAACUGAGUAAAUUGCGCAAUGAACGGUGGCAAAUUACAUGAGCAGCCCGAACUGGGAACCCCAGGAGUCUGGAUAGAAAUGCGAGUGAAUAUGGUUGCCAUUAAAUGAGAAAACUUG